rnacentral:tRNA from 1 species
GUAGACAUAGCUCAGAGGGUAAGAGCACUGGCUGUUCUAGAAACUAGGGUUCAAGUCCCAGUAUUUGCA